AGCAGCCGCGGUAAUUCCAGCUCCAAUAGCGUAUAUUAAAGUUGUUGCAGUUAAAAAGCUCGUAGUUGAAUCUCGGGAUCAAUACGUCGGUCGUGCUUCGGUACGUACUGGCGUCAUUGGUUUCUCCCUUCUGACGAACCAUGAUGUCAUUAACUUGGUGUCAUGGGAAAUCAGGACUGUUACUUUGAAAAAAUUAGAGUGUUUAAAGCAGGCUAACGCUUGAAUACAUUAGCAUGGAAUAAUGAAAUAGGACGUUCGAUCCUAUUUUGUUGGUUUCUAGGAUUGACGUAAUGAUUAAUAGGGAUAGUUGGGGGCAUUAGUAUUCAAUUGUCAGAGGUGAAAUUCUUGGAUUUAUUGAAGACUAACUACUGCGAAAGCAUUUGCCAAGGAUGUUUUCAUUAAUCAAGAACGAAAGUUAGGGGAUCGAAGACGAUCAGAUACCGUCGUAGU
rnacentral:rRNA from 1 species